rnacentral:pre_miRNA from 1 species
GUUAAGGGGGUUGUUGUCUGGUUCAAGGUCUCCACAUACAUCAUGUACAUGGAGGGCAUGCAUGCAUGAUAUGCUGUUGUUGAGUGCCAUUUGCUCGAUCUUGUGUAUAUAUGCAGUGUAUGAUGUGGUGAUCUCGGACCAGGCUUCGAUCCCUUUAAC